GCCGGCGCUGCUCUCUCGCCUCGCGGUUGCGGGGUCCGGAAUGGAGAGGGGGAGGGGGCUGAGCGUUGGCUGCCGGAGACUAGCUGAGGAGAUUUUAGAACAAACAGAGAUACAUGUGGAUAGCAGCCAAUACAGAGAGAGGGAGAGAGAAAAAGGUAGGAUCAGAAGCUAUAUUUGUAACUUUUGAUUAGUGAACUAGAGAAGGAAGCCUAACACUGCAGGACCAUGACCUUCACACCUACUUUAGUGGCCCUUCUGGGUCAGAGAUGGAUGAAAUGAAAAUGCAAUUUCUCUGAGCCCAGGAAUUGAGUUUCUGAAAUCUGAAUCACUGGGGUGCCUGAAACUCUGCUGUCUAAUGGAUGAAUGGAAUCAAAAUGUGAAGAUAUGAUUACCAUGAAUCCUUUGUACAGGUGAUCCAGUUAACUACUAAUAACAAACCAUCCUUAAACU
rnacentral:lncRNA from 1 species